rnacentral:rRNA from 1 species
CGGCCACGGUAUCCUAACCGUGCAAAGGUAGCAUAAUCACUUGUUCUUUAAAUGAGGACUCGUAUCAACGGCAUCACGAGGAUUAUACUGUCUCCUUUUUCUAAUCAGUGAAACUAAUCUCCCCGUGAAGAAGCGGGGAUAUGCUUAUAAGACGAGAAGACCCCAUGGAGCUUUAAACCCAACUACACCCCCAAUCCUUACAACCAUAAAGCCCGUGGGGCCCUGUAUCACUGGUUUUAGGUUGGGGCGACCAUGGAGCACAACAAAACCUCCACAAUGAACGGAACUACUUCUUCAUCUAAGAGCCACCCCUCUAAGAAUUAAAAUAUUAACAUAAAACGAUCCAUUUUUUUGAUCAAUGAACCAAGUUACCCUGGGGAUAACAGCGCAAUCCAUUUCAAGAGUCCCUAUCGACAAAUGGGUUUACGACCUCGAUGUUGGAUCAGGGUAUCCCAGUGGUGCAGCAGCUACUAACGGUUCGUUUGUUCAACGAUUAAAACCCU